rnacentral:rRNA from 1 species
CCUACGGGGGGCAGCAGUGGGGAAUAUUGGACAAUGGGCGAAAGCCUGAUCCAGCCAUGCCGCGUGUGUGAAGAAGGCCUUCGGGUUGUAAAGCACUUUCAGUGGGGAAGAAAGCCUUGGGGCUAAUACCCGCGAGGAAGGACAUCACCCACAGAAGAAGCACCGGCUAACUCCGUGCCAGCAGCCGCGGUAAUACGGAGGGUGCGAGCGUUAAUCGGAAUUACUGGGCGUAAAGCGCGCGUAGGCGGUCUGAUAAGCCGGUUGUGAAAGCCCCGGGCUCAACCUGGGAACGGCAUCCGGAACUGUCAGGCUAGAGUGCAGGAGAGGAAGGUAGAAUUCCCGGUGUAGCGGUGAAAUGCGUAGAGAUCGGGAGGAAUACCAGUGGCGAAGGCGGCCUUCUGGACUGACACUGACGCUGAGGUGCGAAAGCGUGGGUAGCAAACAGGAUUAGAUACCCGAGUAGUC